GACGAACGCUGGCGGCGUGCCUAAUACAUGCAAGUAGAACGCUGAAGCUUGGUGCUUGCACCGAGCGGAUGAGUUGCGAACGGGUGAGUAACGCGUAGGUAACCUGCCUGGUAGCGGGGGAUAACUAUUGGAAACGAUAGCUAAUACCGCAUCAGAGUAGAUGUUGCAUGACAUUUGCUUAAAAGGUGCAAUUGCAUCACUACCAGAUGGACCCGCGUUGUAUUAGCUAGUUGGUGAGGUAACGGCUCACCAAGGCAACGAUACAUAGCCGACCUGAGAGGGUGAUCGGCCACACUGGGACUGAGACACGGCCCAGACUCCUACGGGAGGCAGCAGUAGGGAAUCUUCGGCAAUUGACGGAAGUCUGACCGAGCAACGCCGCGUGAGUGAAGAAGGUUUUCGGAUCGUAAAGCUCUGUUGUAAGAGAAGAACGAGUGUGAGAGUGGAAAGUUCACACUGUGACGGUAUCUUACCAGAAAGGGACGGCUAACUACGUG
rnacentral:rRNA from 1 species